rnacentral:rRNA from 1 species
AUUCCAGCUCCAAUAGCGUAUAUUAAAGUUGUUGCAGUUAAAAAGCUCGUAGUCUGACCGUUGAUCGGCAUUGAGCGUCCGUGGCUACUGGUCAUGUGUACGCGAGGUGCCGGUCACUACCUUCGGAGGAGCGUUCGUGCUUUUAACUAAGUGCGUGCGGGAUUCCGAUAGUUUACUUUGAGAAAAUUAGAGUGUUCAAAGCAGGCGUUUGCCUUGAAUACAUUAGCAUGGGAUAAUGAAAUAGGACGUUGGUUCUAUUUUGAUGGUUUACGGACCGACGUAAUGAUUAAUAGGGACAGUUGGGGACAUUUAUAUUCCAUGGCUAGAGGUGAAAUUCUUGGAUUCAUGGAAGAUAAACUACUGCGAAAGCAUUUGUCAAAGAUGUUUUCAUCG